UAACUACUACACAACGUUGGAUGCAUCAAGCAUAAAAGCCAGUGCUACACUUCUCGUUGUUUCCAUGGUGAUACAUCUGACGUUUAAAUUGACAGACACACACAAUAUCUUGCCAUCAUUCCUACAUAUUGCAUGAUUAAAUAAGAUAGUUUAUGGACGUUUUUCAAAAUCAUUUUUAUGGACUCAUUUGACCAUUCCUUGAAACAAUUAGUCUGAAUCAGAGAAAAAUAAAAGUCAACCACUGACACAAUACUGACACUGCUAUUUUUCAACCAUAAUCUCAAAAUCAUCAAUAUCUGAUGGCUUACUUCACUCUGUAAAGAAUGGUUUCACCUCAGGUGAAUGUCAUUACUUGAUAUAAUUCAUACCAUAAAGAAAGGUUUCAUGUCAUUACUUGAUUCACUUCACUCUGUAAAGAAAUGCUUCACCUCAGGUGAAUGUCAUUACUUGAUUUACUUCACUCUGUAAAGAAAGGUUUCACCUCAGGUGAAUGUCAUUACUUGAUAUAAUUCAUACCAUAAAAAAAGGUUUCAUGUCAUUACUUGAUUCACUUCACUCUGUAAAGAAAUGCUUCACUUCAGGUGAAUGUAAUUACAUGUACUUGAUUUACUUCACUCUGUAAAGAAAGGUUUCACCUCAGGUGAAUGUCAUUACUUGAUUUACUUCACUCUGUAAAGAAAGGUUUCACCUCAGGUGAAUGUCAUUACUUGAUUUACUUCACUCUGUAAAGAAAAGUUUCACCCCAGGUGAAUGUCAUUACUUGAUUUACUUCACUCUGUAAAGAAAGGUUUCACCUCAGGUGAAUGUCAUUACUUGAUUUACUUCACUCUGUAAAGAAAGGUUUCACCUCAGGUGAAUGUCAUUACUUGAUUUACUUCACUCUGUAAAGAAAGGUUUCACCUCAGGUGAAUGUCAUUACUUGAUUACUUCACUCUGUAAAGAAUGGUUUCACCUCAGGUGAAUGUCAUUACUUGAUUUACUUCACUCUGUAAAGAAAAGUUUCACCUCAGGUGAAUGCCAUUACGUCUCUCCAUAAAGAAUGGUUUCACCUCAGGUGGAUGUCAUUACUUGAUUUAUUCCCCUGGCAAAAGGUGAAUAUCAUCUUUUACUUCAUUUUGUAGGUAGGUUUCACAUCAGGUGAAUGUCAUUACUUGAUUUUCUCCACUCUGAAGAGAAGGGUUUCACUUUAGGUGAAUGCCAUCACUACAUUUUACUUCAGUUCAGACUUAUGACAAUUUUGACACCUGAUUUAUAAGCAUGUAUGCAUUAAAUCAAACUUUCGACAUGUAGGAGUAUGUGUAUGAUAACCAGAUAUCCCCCCUGUCUACACAAUGUAUGGACAUAAAUAAUGCAUCUCAUUUCAUAUCUUCAUGUUUGCAUUCCAGUACACGUCAAGGUGACAAUUUCUCCUUGUUGCACCUCUACUGGGUGUGGCUUCUUUGUAAAUACCCAUACUGUAUAUUCUGCAUAAUGUUAAUUGCAAAAAAAAUAAAGUUAAUUUCCAUUUACUCAUUUACACAUUUCCAGAAUUACAAAAGUUGAAGUAUUUUAUAUCUUGAUCAAUGUUGUUGAUACUUAUUAAUGUGAAUAAUAUUUUUAUACAGGGAUUGUAUAUCAUGUAUAUUAGUGAUCAGUCUUGUACAUAGAUUUUAGAUUUUGUAUUUGUAAUCAUUUUAAUUUCAUUAUCAUGAUUGUUAGAAUGUACAUAGUUAAAGACAUAAACAUGUGCUCUCGAUAGGCUACUUACUGGACCAAAUAGAAAAAACAAUGACUUGAUAUUCUGGACAAUGGAUUAUUGCAUAGGUUGUUUUGUAAAAAGACAUAUUUACCAUUGUUGGUAAAUAGAGGCAAAAUAUGUUUGACAAAUAGUGUGCCUCUAAUUAUAAUUAAAUUACUGUAAUAGUCAUGUUGUAUAUCACUGUAAUGGUUCUGAAAUCCAGUACCAAGUGACCAUGUAAUCAGCACAGGAAACUUGUUGAUGUUGAGCACAUUUUAACACACAUGUAUACAGGCAAAAGGAACAGCCAUAUGCUUGUACAUACAGUACCAAGUUUUCUACAUUUUAUCCUAGUAACAUUUUUAUGUACAUCAAUGAAUGUUUUAUGAAAUAUACAUUUUUAAUAAACAUUUUGAAUAUACAAUGUGAAAUCUC
rnacentral:lncRNA from 1 species